GUGCUCACUUCAGCAGCACGUAUACUAGAAUUGGAGCCAUGCAAAGAUUAGCGUGGCCCCUUCGCAAGGAUGACAUGCAAAUUCAUGAAGCGUUCCACAUUUUG